rnacentral:lncRNA from 1 species
UUUCAUACAAAUUUAUAAAAAAUCCACAAAAUCCACAAAAAUCGUCCUUGAAAAAAUGUUCAUCAAAUUCUUUGAAAGUCACAGUUGAAUACAUCCUUUUCAAUGUCUCGACUUUCCAAACACGCCGCCAAUAACCACCAUCUCUAUUCUGAUCAGAGGCGACUGUAAUUCCUCCGGCACUGGCCUCCCUUGCUUCUUCCAGCCAUUUUCCUUUGUCUUGUGCUCGUUGAUCCACCAAGGUCCCUGGUGGACACUAAGAGGCAGCUCCCCUUCCAUAACACUUCCGGAUCCAUCUCUUUCCAGUGCCCAGUUCCUUGCUGCCUUAGGGAGAAUCAAGGCAGCUAUAUUUUUCUAGGUUUCUUCUCCUAACUGCAUCAUUUUGGCCACUCUCUGAUUGAGGCGCUACUCUGAUUUUUCCCAUCUAGGUAAGCCCUUCAUCUCUGAUUUCAAUUCUUCAAUUUCCUUUUCUCUUCCUUCCACCUUGCUUUCUAUCUUCUUAGGGGCCACGAGGAUCAACGUACUCUGAUACCAAUUUGUUUGGAACCCAACCACAAAAAGAAGUUCCUGUAAAAGAACACAGAAAUAAGUAACUGAACUUUUAAUUGUAUUGAACAAAUUGACUAAUAACCGAAGGAUAACAGACUUAGAGAGGGACUCUCCACUAUCUCCUCUCUUCUCUCAAUUUAUGCCUGCCUCUAGACUCUUCUUCUACCUCUAUUUAUGAAUUUCUCCCAACUCAUUUGGCCUAACUACUUCCCCCCUACAACAGAAUGCAGUUCCCUUUCGUGCCAGCUGGGGAGUCGUGCUUCUUUACUCUUCUAGGAUAAGUGAAUCGGAUGGGAGGCUUAUCAUAAUCACAUAGAACUUGAACGAAUUGUUGGAUGCACACUGUAGGUGUAAAAUAUUUAUUCCCAGUAUUCAGAUGUUGCUAUCAAGCAAAUAAAGAAAAGUUGUUUCACACUUUCACUGGUCGACAGUGAGAGCAAGAGAGAUUGGUAAUACUUCCUUAGUUCCCACAUGCUUCAUUUCAUUUUUUCUUAAUAUAGACUUUCAACCACACGAAUUGUGUCAUUGAAUAUGUUUCUUAAAAUGCACAUUGAGAGUAAUUGUAUUAAUUUCUACACCUUUGCAUCCUCUUAGUGGUGAUACUCCUAUGUAUUCACCUCAGCAAAUUGCAUCACUUUUCUAUUUCACCAAGGAAUUUAAGAAUGUUUCAUUUUCCUUUUUAGCAAAUUAUCCUUGAAGUCAAUUGUCACCUAUCAUUUCCCAUUGUAUUCAUAAUGUUGAUAGUCCAUAAAUAAUGAUAAUUAGUUUAUAGCGAGCCCAUAUAAUCUAUAGGAUUAUUCUUCUUGAACAGAAUGGACACCAUUAUGGUGUUCAUUGUGUACCCCAACCAUUACUCUAUUUUGUGAAGGAAUAGAAGAUCUUGUAGAUAUACAUUGGCAUUAGCAUGUAAAGAGUGUUGACUAUGUUGUGUGCUAAAUGUUGGAUUAGAGGUCAUAUGUUUAAUCAUCUUAUGAUUUCUCUUGUUUUCUGAAUUUUCAACAAAUUAAUUGAUCUAACUGUUGAAGAUAAACGAGUCUGCAACAAACCUGUUGCUUCGAAUCAAGGUCUGAAUGACAUAUCAUUUGCAGUUGCUUGAUUGGUUGUAUGAAGAUUAGACAUAUGCCAAGCUACAUAGCUAAAUUUGCUUUUCCCCUAUCGAACGCUCUAUGUUCUUCAUGUCUUAAUGAUCUAUCCACCUACAGGUUACAUGCUAAUAUGUCAGGUUGUGAAACUCGGAGCAGACUUGUGGCCUCAA